CAACUGACUGCUGGGGCCCAUUGUGAAGCAAACACAGCUCAAGAAGUUUGUUUUACUGAGAGUGCUCGUCAGGGUUCCCAUCCAAGAAAGAGACCAAUGACAGAACAGAUGGAGGACUGUCUAGCUACAAAGAAGCAACUGACAGCUGGGGAUAAUGGUGAAGCAAGUGUCAAAGCUCAGUCGUCCUCGACAGUCUGAUAGUGUGCUUUUGACCGGACAAAGCGAUGCUGUUGGAACACGAUGUUGUUUUGAU